UACAGAGGGUGCAAGCGUUGCUCGGAAUCAUUGGGCGUAAAGGGUAGGUAGGUGGUCUCAUUUGUCUGGGGUGAAAGCCCAGGGCUUAACCCUGGAAGUGCCCCGGAAACGGUGAGACUGGAGUCUUGGAGAGGGUCGUGGAAUUCCCGGUGUAGCGGUGAAAUGCGUAGAGAUCGGGAAGAACACCCGUGGCGAAGGCGGCUCUCUGGGACGGUACUGACGCUGAGACGCGAAAGCGUGGGGAGCAAACAGG
rnacentral:rRNA from 1 species